rnacentral:lncRNA from 1 species
UGUCUGUCUGUCUCUGUGUGUGUGUCUCUGUCUCUGUGUCUCUGUUUGUGCAGAGGAGCUGCAGGUGGUGUCCGUGGGCCUGCUGGUGAUCGGUGGUGUUGGCGGUCAGCGUGGCAGCGACCUGUGAGAUCAGGUUCCUACUGCUGACGGGCUGCAGUCAGACGUUCAGUGAUUGGCUGCAGGAGAACUCCCUGACCAUCAUCGCCAUGGACGUCGCCCUGCAGUUACUGCAGGUGGCGCUGUUCGUCAUGGCGGUGUAUCUGUACCGUGCAUUUGAAGAAGGCCGCGCUCUGAAACGGACCGAUCUGCUGGCUGGCAGAGACCACGCCCCCACCGAUGACCUGGGGGAGCUGAACUACGCCUGCAAUGACCAGGGUGUGUCGUGUCCUCACAGGGUAUACCCCGCCUCUCACCCAAAGCUAGCUAGGCUAGGCUCCAGCCCCCCGUGACCCUCCACUGCAG